UGGGGAAUCUUGCGCAAUGCGCGAAAGCGUGACGCAGCAACACCGCGUGAGGGAAGACGGCCUUCGGGUUGUAAACCUCUUUCAGGAGGGACGAAGGCCGGCCGGUUAACAGCCGUGCCGGCUGACGGUACCUCCACAAGAAGCUCCGGCUAACUACGUGCCAGCAGCCGCGGUAAUACGUAGGGAGCGAGCGUUGUCCGGAAUCAUUGGGCGUAAAGCGCGCGUAGGCGGCCCGAUAAGUCCGCUGUGAAAGUCAACGGCUCAACUGUUGAAAGCCGGUGGAUACUGUCGGGCUAGAGUACGGAAGAGGCAAGUGGAAUUCCUGGUGUAGCGGUGGAAUGCGCAGAUAUCAGGAGGAACACCUAUAGCGAAGGCAGCUUGCUGGGACGUUACUGACGCUAAGGCGCGAAAGCGUGGGGAGCGAACAGGAUUAGAAACCCGGGUAG
rnacentral:rRNA from 1 species